UCGGUUACAACAUCCGGGGGGUGUUUGAGUCCAUAGUUACCAAACAUUCCUGCUAAAACCCAGCGACGUCAAUGAUUAUUACUGUUUUGUAAUUGUUUGUUUCUGUUGGAACGCAAUGGAAAUUAUUAGAGGCAGUUUAGACAACAUAGCCCGACCUGCGUCAGGUGAACGCACAUGCGCAGCAUCGACGCGUCCUGACAGGAUUAGUCCCACACAACAGUUUGCUCUUCUUGUUUUGACCAACGAUGCACCACAACAGAAUCAUAGCAGCUCUGAAGAACAAAUGGUCCUACCCCUUAAAUCCUCUGCAGACUCAAGCAAAGAUCAGAAUCCUAUUAAAUCUAAAGAGGAAAACAACGAAGAUGUUAAACUACAAAGAGCCAUUGAGGAAAUGAGGCGACUCGAUGAAGUAUUGUUCGCACAGACAUGCAAAGAAAAAGAAAUCCAAUGUCAAAGGAAAGAACUCAGAGCUAAACUCUGGCACGGACUCCUGGUAGUGUUGUGUUUUUAUUGACUAUCUCCAUAUAACAAAUUAUAGCCACUGCAUUUUACUAACAUGUGUGUAGGCCUGUCCCGAUGUAUAAUAUUAAUGUAUAUUUAUUUACAGCAUAAUAAAAAAGAGGGACGCUCCGAAAGCGCCCAUGAAGCUUUAAACACAAGGCUGUUUUUGGAGUUAGAACCACCGACUGGUAAAUAUAUGGAAAACAUCACAGACUAUAGCUAAAUGACAUUGGCAGAUCAUGUGGUCACUUGAGCUCAAAGAUGGUUUUGUUUGUCUUAAGGAGCAGAGGAUGAGGAUGAUAUCACACUCCUCUUUGAAACCAAGGACCCCAAGGUUCAGAUUGACAGAUGCAGCCCAAAUAUGAUGCAUGGUGGGAAGACGUCCAACAACUUGACAGAAUCAUUUAAAUCAAGCUCUGGAGACCAAUGCACAGGCCUCUGCAGAUCCUCUGAAAGGAUGGAUGAACAGAAAGACUACAUCACACCAGACAGUGAGCUAUUAGGGGAAGAAGAGGAUCACAUGAUUCUGACCAAGGCAGAGCAAGAGCGUCUGGCUGAGCUUCUUCAAGAAAUAGAAGAAGUGAAAGAGGACAGUAUCAGUGAUUUCGACAGUGAGCAGAAUCAAUGUGUGGGUUACUCUAAAAUUGCUCAUGAAGCUUUUAACCCAAGGCUGUUUACGGCAUUGGGAGCAUCCACAGCCGAGGAAGAUGAGGAUAUCACACUUCUGUUUGAAACCGAGUUACCCGAAGGUCAACAUGAUAAUUACAAUGUUUGCACAGAGAAUGGUAGGAGGAGGUCAGACAGCUUGACUGAAUCCUAUGAAUUCAGCUGUGAAGAAGUCGGAGGCCCGUUUAGGCUUUCAAAAAGCAAUGAUAAACAGAAGAACUUUGUCAGGAGAAACAUUGAGCUGGUCAGUGAACAGGGGGGCCAAGUGAGUUUGACAAAAGCAGAGCAGAAGCGUCUGACUGAGCUUCUACAAGAAAUUGAUGAAGAGGAAGAGGAAGGUGAUGCAUUCAAUGAGGUAAGCUGUCAUGAUGCUUGUAUAGACAAUACAUACGGUAUAAUGGGAUGAAUGUUACUUUUUGAGACCAAUGAAUCCACUCUUUUGCAACUAUCUGG
ensembl:lncRNA fibrous sheath interacting protein 1